UACAGAGGUCUCAAGCGUUGUUCGGAUUCAUUGGGCGUAAAGGGUGCGUAGGCGGACUCUUAAGUCGGUGGUGAAAUCCUGGAGCUCAACUCCAGAACUGCCUUCGAUACUGGGAGUCUCGAGUUCGGGAGAGGUGAGUGGAACUGCGAGUGUAGAGGUGAAAUUCGUAGAUAUUCGCAAGAACACCAGUGGCGAAGGCGGCUCACUGGCCCGAUACUGACGCUGAGGUGCGAAAGCGUGGGGAGCAAACAGG
rnacentral:rRNA from 1 species